rnacentral:rRNA from 1 species
GCGGAAGGAUCAUUAAAGGACUCUUGGAGUUGGAUUGUAGCUGGCCUUUUAGGCAUAUAUGUGCACAUCCCUCCUUAUAUCCAAAUACACUUGUGCACAAAGGGGUCUUAUUAGGCCUCAUUUUACACACAUACACUGUUGUUAAUGCAUGUUAUACAAUUAUAAUUACAACUUUCAACAACGGAUCUCUUGGCUUUCGCAUCGAUGAAGAACGCCGCGAAAGUGCGAAACGUAAUGUGAAUUGCAGAAUUCAGUGAAUCAUCGAAUCUUUGAACGCAUCUUGCGCUUCUUGGUAUUCCGAGGAGCAUGCCUGUCUGAGUGUCGUGAAAUUCUCUCGAACCAUAUCUCUAUGGUUCGGAUGUGGACGUGUGUUGUUGGUUAAUACAACUCGUCUUGAAAUUCAUUAGCUGAUCUUCUUGGUCUGGCGGACGGUGUGAUAAAUGAAAUAACACUGUGUUGUCUAACAUAUAAGAUCGCUUCUAAUCCAAAUCAUUUUUUAUUAAAUGACCUCAGA